rnacentral:rRNA from 1 species
AAGCCAGACUCCUACGGGAGGCAGCAGUGGGGAAUAUUGCACAAUGGGGGAAACCCUGAUGCAGCGACGCCGCGUGAAGGAAGAAGUAUUUCGGUAUGUAAACUUCUAUCAGCAGGGAAGAAAAUGACGGUACCUGACUAAGAAGCCCCGGCUAACUACGUGCCAGCAGCCGCGGUAAUACGUAGGGGGCAAGCGUUAUCCGGAUUUACUGGGUGUAAAGGGAGCGUAGGCGGCGAUGCAAGUCAGAAGUGAAAGCCCGGGGCUCAACUCCGGGACUGCUUUUGAAACUGUGUUGCUAGAUUGCAGGAGAGGUAAGUGGAAUUCCUAGUGUAGCGGUGAAAUGCGUAGAUAUUAGGAGGAACACCAGUGGCGAAGGCGGCUUACUGGACUGUAAAUGACGCUGAGGCUCGAAAGCGUGGGGAGCAAACAGGAUUAGAUACCCUAGUA